rnacentral:rRNA from 1 species
AUGGCCGGCAUGGCGGCGCUGCAGGGCGCCAUGGGGGCGCUCUCCGUCUCGGCCGCGAGCACCAGCGCAUUCUGGGGCAACCCGCUCGCCGCCACCUUCUCCGCCGCGCCGUCUGGGGUCAGAUUCAUGGCCAAGACAAGCCCAAUUGAAAUGAGGCUUAAGCGAUGGGAACGGAAGAAGUGUAAGCCAAACAGUCUUCCUAUGCUGCACAAGAUGCAUGUUAGGGUCGGCGACACGGUGCAGGUCAUCGCAGGCCGUGAGAAAGGUAAAGUUGGGGAAGUCGUACGGCUUUAUAAGCACAACAGCACUGUGAUAGUGAAGGAUCUGAACUUGAAGUCAAAGCACAAGAAAGGCACUGAGGAUGAACCGGGUGAAAUUGUCAUGAUUGAAGGCCCCAUUCAUAGCUCGAACAUGAUGCUCUACUCAAAGGAGAAGAACGUGACGAGUAGGGUUGGGCACAAAAUCCUCGAGGAUGGCACCAAGGUCCGCUACCUGAAGAAGACCGGUGAAGUAAUCGACAGCGUUGACAACUGGGUGAAGGUGUUCAAGGAAGGAGAUUCUGAGUCAUCAUCGUAG